GACGAACGCUGGCGGCGUGCUUAACACAUGCAAGUCGAACGGAAAGGCCUCUUUCGGGGGGUACUCGAGUGGCGAACGGGUGAGUAACACGUGAGUAACCUGCCCUUGACUUUGGGAUAACUUCAGGAAACUGGGGCUAAUACCGGAUAGGAGCUCCUGCUGCAUGGUGGGGGUUGGAAAGUUUCGGCGGUUGGGGAUGGACUCGCGGCUUAUCAGCUUGUUGGUGGGGUAGUGGCUUACCAAGGCUUUGACGGGUAGCCGGCCUGAGAGGGUGACCGGCCACAUUGGGACUGAGAUACGGCCCAGACUCCUACGGGGGGCAGCAGUGGGGAAUAUUGCACAAAGGGUGGGAGCCUGAUGCAGCAACGCCGUGUGCGGGAUGACGGCCUUCGGGUUGUAAACCGCUUUCGCUCAUGACGAAGCUUUGUGUGACGGUAGUGGGUAAAGAAGCACCGGCUAACUACGUG
rnacentral:rRNA from 1 species